rnacentral:rRNA from 1 species
AUGCACGCUGGCGGCGUGCUUCACACAUGCAAGUCGAACGAAGCACUUUAUUUGAUUUCCUUCGGGACUGAUUAUUUUGUGACUGAGUGGCGGACGGGUGAGUAACGCGUGGGUAACCUGCCUUGUACAGGGGGAUAACAGUUGGAAACGGCUGCUAAUACCGCAUAAGCGCACAGCAUCGCAUGAUGCAGUGUGAAAAACUCCGGUGGUAUAAGAUGGACCCGCGUUGGAUUAGCUAGUUGGUGAGGUAACGGCCCACCAAGGCGACGAUCCAUAGCCGACCUGAGAGGGUGACCGGCCACAUUGGGACUGAGACACGGCCCAAACUCCUACGGGAGGCAGCAGUGGGGAAUAUUGCACAAUGGGCGAAAGCCUGAUGCAGCGACGCCGCGUGAGCGAAGAAGUAUUUCGGUAUGUAAAGCUCUAUCAGCAGGGAAGAUAAUGACGGUACCUGACUAAGAAGCACCGGCUAAAUACGUG